GAUGAACGCUAGCUACAGGCUUAACACAUGCAAGUCGAGGGGCAUCAGGAAGAAAGCUUGCUUUCUUUGCUGGCGACCGGCGCACGGGUGAGUAACACGUAUCCAACCUGCCCUUUACUCGGGGAUAGCCUUUCGAAAGAAAGAUUAAUACCCGAUGGCAUAAUGAUUCCGCAUGGUUUCAUUAUUAAAGGAUUCCGGUAAAGGAUGGGGAUGCGUUCCAUUAGGUUGUUGGUGAGGUAACGGCUCACCAAGCCCUCGAUGGAUAGGGGUUCUGAGAGGAAGGUCCCCCACAUUGGAACUGAGACACGGUCCAAACUCCUACGGGAGGCAGCAGUGAGGAAUAUUGGUCAAUGGGCGCUAGCCUGAACCAGCCAAGUAGCGUGAAGGAUGAAGGCUCUAUGGGUCGUAAACUUCUUUUAUAUAAGAAUAAAGUGCAGUAUGUAUACUGUUUUGUAUGUAUUAUAUGAAUAAGGAUCGGCUAACUCCGUGCCAGCAGCCGCGGUAAUACGGAGGAUCCGAGCGUUAUCCGGAUUUAUUGGGUUUAAAGGGAGCGUAGGUGGACUGGUAAGUCAGUUGUGAAAGUUUGCGGCUCAACCGUAAAAUUGCAGUUGAUACUGUCAGUCUUGAGUACAGUAGAGGUGGGCGGAAUUCGUGGUGUAGCGGUGAAAUGCUUAGAUAUCACGAAGAACUCCGAUUGCGAAGGCAGCUCACUGGACUGCAACUGACACUGAUGCUCGAAAGUGUGGGUAUCAAACAGGAUUAGAUACCCUGGUAGUCCACACAGUAAACGAUGAAUACUCGCUGUUUGCGAUAUACAGUAAGCGGCCAAGCGAAAGCAUUAAGUAUUCCACCUGGGGAGUACGCCGGCAACGGUGAAACUCAAAGGAAUUGACGGGGGCCCGCACAAGCGGAGGAACAUGUGGUUUAAUUCGAUGAUACGCGAGGAACCUUACCCGGGCUUAAAUUGCAGUGGAAUGAUGUGGAAACAUGUCAGUGAGCAAUCACCGCUGUGAAGGUGCUGCAUGGUUGUCGUCAGCUCGUGCCGUGAGGUGUCGGCUUAAGUGCCAUAACGAGCGCAACCCUUAUCUUCAGUUACUAACAGGUCAUGCUGAGGACUCUGGAGAGACUGCCGUCGUAAGAUGUGAGGAAGGUGGGGAUGACGUCAAAUCAGCACGGCCCUUACGUCCGGGGCUACACACGUGUUACAAUGGGGGGUACAGAAGGCAGCUAGCGGGUGACCGUAUGCUAAUCCCAAAAUCCUCUCUCAGUUUCGGAUCGAAGUCUGCAACCCGACUUCGUGAAAGCUGGAUUCGCUAGUAAUCGCGCAUCAGCCACGGCGCGGUGAAUACGUUCCCGGGCCU
rnacentral:rRNA from 1 species